CUGACUGCAUUCACAGUAGAGCCUGGGCCCGGAGAAAUGGAGUUUGUCUUAUGGACAAGAAUUUUCAAUAAGACCUGUUCUGGGCUGGAUCUGGCAGCUGGAGCUGUAUAGCCAUGGAGAAGACAUGUGCUUUGGCCUCCAGUUACUGAUAUCCUAGUAGGGAGCAGACAGAUCUCUUAUUAAACCUCAAGCAGGGCUGGCAGCCAGCAAGUACAAGCAAUCCUCUUGUCUCUGCCUUUCAUAGCACUGUGGAUACAGG